rnacentral:misc_RNA from 1 species
GAUGAAGAACGCAGCGAAAUGCGAUAAGUAAUGUGAAUUGCAGAAUUCAGUGAAUCAUCGAAUCUUUGAACGCACAUUGCGCCCGCCAGUAUUCUGGCGGGCAUGCCUGUUCGAGCGUCAUUUCAACCAUCAAGCCCCCGGCUUGUGUUGGGGACCUGCGGCUGCCGCAGGCCCUGAAAAGCAGUGGCGGGCUCGCUGUCACACCGGGCGUAGUAGCAUACAUCUCGCUCUGGGCGUGCUGCGGGUUCCGGCCGUUAAACCACCUUCAUAACCCAAGGUUGACCUCGGAUCAGGUAGGAAGACCCGCUGAACUUAAGCAUAUCAAUAAGCGGAGGA